rnacentral:rRNA from 1 species
GACGAACGCUGGCGGCGCGCCUAACACAUGCAAGUCGAACGGAGCUGAGAGAAGCUUGCUUUUCUUAGCUUAGUGGCGAACGGGUGAGUAACGCGUGAGUAACCUGCCCUGGAGUGGGGGACAACAGUUGGAAACGACUGCUAAUACCGCAUAAGCCCACGAUCCGGCAUCGGAUUGAGGGAAAAGGAUUUAUUCGCUUCAGGAUGGACUCGCGUCCAAUUAGCUAGUUGGUGAGGUAACGGCCCACCAAGGCGACGAUUGGUAGCCGGACUGAGAGGUUGACCGGCACCAUGGGGCCUAGGACACGGCCCAGACUCCUCCGGGAGCCAGCAGUGGGGGUUAUGGAACAUUGGGGAAACCCUGAUGCAGCGACGCCGCGUGGAGGAAGAAGGUUUUCGGAUUGUAAACUCCUGUCGUUAGGGACGAUAAUGACGGUACCUAACAAGAAAGCACCGGCUAACUACGUG